rnacentral:rRNA from 1 species
GCCGGGGGGGUGCUAUACAUGCAGUCGAGCGGACAGAAGGGAGCUUGCUCCCGGAUGUUAGCGGCGGACGGGUGAGUAACACGUGGGUAACCUGCCUGUAAGACUGGGAUAACUCCGGGAAACCGGAGCUAAUACCGGAUAGUUCCUUGAACCGCAUGGUUCAAGGAUGAAAGACGGUUUCGGCUGUCACUUACAGAUGGACCCGCGGCGCAUUAGCUAGUUGGUGAGGUAACGGCUCACCAAGGCGACGAUGCGUAGCCGACCUGAGAGGGUGAUCGGCCACACUGGGACUGAGACACGGCCCAGACUCCUACGGGAGGCAGCAGUAGGGAAUCUUCCGCAAUGGACGAAAGUCUGACGGAGCAACGCCGCGUGAGUGAUGAAGGUUUUCGGAUCGUAAAGCUCUGUUGUUAGGGAAGAACAAGUGCAAGAGUAACUGCUUGCACCUUGACGGUACCUAACCAGAAAGCCACGGCUAACUACGUGCCAGCAGCCGCGGUAAUACGUAGGUGGCAAGCGUUGUCCGGAAUUAUUGGGCGUAAAGGGCUCGCAGGCGGUUUCUUAAGUCUGAUGUGAAAGCCCCCGGCUCAACCGGGGAGGGUCAUUGGAAACUGGGAAACUUGAGUGCAGAAGAGGAGAGUGGAAUUCCACGUGUAGCGGUGAAAUGCGUAGAGAUGUGGAGGAACACCAGUGGCGAAAGCGACUCUCUGGUCUGUAACUGACGCUGAGGAGCGAAAGCGUGGGGAGCGAACAGGAUUAGAUACCCUGGUAGUCCACGCCGUAUACGAUGAGUGCUAAGUGUUAGGGGUUUCCGCCCCUUAUUGCUGCAGCUAACGCAUUAAGCACUCCGGCUGGGGAGUACGGUCGCAAGACUGAUACUCAAGGAAAUGACGGGGGCCCGCACAGACGCUGUACAUGUGAUUUUAUCGAGCACCGCGAGAACUAUCAGUCUGGACAUCUCUGAAGAUCCUAAGUAGGACUUCCUCCGCGACGAGGACAGGGUGCAUCGUGUCUUCACUCCUGUCUGAAAGUAUGUAAUCCGAUCAG